rnacentral:rRNA from 1 species
AGACGUCUACAUUAGAUACCCGUGUAGUCCCAGCCGUAAACUAUGCGCGUUAGGUGUAUCGGUGGCCACGAGUCACCGAGGUGCCGAAGGGAAACCGUGAAACGUGCCGCCGUGGGAAGUACGGUCGCAAGGCUAGAAACUUAAAGGAAUUGGCGGGGAGCACCACAACGGGUGGAGCCUGCGGUUUAAUUGGACUCAACGCCGGGAAGCUCACCGGAUAAGACAGCGGAAUGAUUGCCGGGCUGAAGACUCUGCAUGACUAGCUG